rnacentral:snRNA from 1 species
GUAAAUUUUUGUAUUAAUAAAAAAAAAAAAAAAAAAAAUUCUGUUCUUAUCAGUUUAAUAUCUGAUACGUCCCCCAUCGGGGGACUACAUAUUAAAUGGAUUUUUCGAACAGGGAGUCGGAAAUGGGGCUUGCUCCGUCCGCUCCACGCACCGACCCGGUAUUGCAGUACCUCCGGGAACGGUGCAACACUU